CAACCGUAAAAUUGCAGUUGAUACUGGGGACCUUGAGUGCGGCAGAGGCAGGCGGAAUUCGUGGUGUAGCGGUGAAAUGCUUAGAUAUCACGAAGAACUCCGAUUGCGAAGGCAGCUUGCUGGACCGUAACUGACGUUGAUGCUCGAAAGUGCGGGUAUCAAACAGGAUUAGAUACCCUGGUAGUCCGCACAGUAAACGAUGAAUACUCGCUGUUGGCGAUAUACUGCCAGCGGCCAAGCGAAAGCGUUAAGUAUUCCACCUGGGGAGUACGCCGGCAACGGUGAAACUCAAAGGAAUUGACGGGGGCCCGCACAAGCGGAGGAACAUGUGGUUUAAUUCGAUGAUACGCGAGGAACCUUACCCGGGCUUGAACUGCAGCGGAAUGGUUUGGAAACAGAUCAGCGAGCAAUCGCCGCUGUGGAGGUGCUGCAUGGUUGUCGUCAGCUCGUGCCGUGAGGUGUCGGCUUAAGUGCCAUAACGAGCGCAACCCUUGCCGGCAGUUGCCAUCAGGUAAUGCUGGGGACUCUGCCGGGACUGCCAUCGUAAGAUGCGAGGAAGGUGGGGAUGACAUCAAAUCAGCACGGCCCUUACGUCCGGGGCUACACACGUGUUACAAUGGGGGGUACAGAAGGCCGCUACCUGGCGACAGGAUGCCAAUCCCGAAAACCCCUCCCAGUUCGGACUGGAGCCUGCAACCCGGCUCCACGAAGCUGGAUUCGCUAGUAAUCGCGCAUCAGCCAUGGCGCGGUGAAUACGUUCCCGGGCCUUGUACACACCGCCCGUCAAGCCAUGGGAGCCGGGNNNNNNNGAAGUACGUAACCGCGAGGGUCGUCCUAGGGUAAAACCGGUGACUAAGGGUAAGUCGUAACAAGGUAGCCGUA
rnacentral:rRNA from 1 species